GACGAACGCUGGCGGCGUGCUUAACACAUGCAAGUCGAACGGAAAGGCCCUGCUUUUGUGGGGUGCUCGAGUGGCGAACGGGUGAGUAACACGUGAGUAACCUGCCCUUGACUUUGGGAUAACUUCAGGAAACUGGGGCUAAUACCGGAUAGGAGCUCCUGCUGCAUGGGGGGGGUUGGAAAGUUUCGGCGGUUGGGGAUGGACUGGCGGGUUAUCAGCUUGUUGGUGGGGUAGUGGCUUACCAGGGGUUUGACGGGUAGCCGGCCUGGGAGGGUGACCGGCCACAUUGGGACUGAGAUACGGCCCAGACUCCUACGGGAGGCAGCGGGGGAGAACAUUGCACAAUGGGCGGACGCCUGAUGCAGCAGCGCCGCGUGCGGGAUGACGGCUUUCGGGUUGUAAACCGCUUUCGACUGUGACGAGGCGUGAGUGACGGUAAUGGGUAAAGAAGCACCGGCUAACUACGUG
rnacentral:rRNA from 1 species